rnacentral:lncRNA from 1 species
GAGGUCAGCUAAAUGAAAGGGAAAGAUUCUGCAGCUUCAGUUAUGUUCCUCCCACGCCCCCUUCUCCUGGGAUUUGCUAUUGUUUUUUCUGAUCUGCUUACCUGCCUAAUUCCAAAUGUUAAUGUAUGUAGGAGUUUGGUUUAUGAAAAAGAUGACCUUUUAAAUCAGUAAUAGAGAGAUGGAUAAUUUAACACAUGCUGCUAAAUCUAUACUUUACCCCUUAUAUCAGGAUAAUUUCAAGGGAUCAAAGAUUUAAAUAUUUUUUUAAAAGAUAGUAAAAGAAAUCAUAGAGGUUGCACCUUUUUGUACUUUUAAAAAUUUUGCACCAUGGGAUCAAGAAUCAAUUCGUUUUUUAAAGAUUACCUAAUUGACCUUAAAAAUUUCCCUCUCCUUUCCCACAAAUAUGUGGCUAAAUAUAAUGC